UACGGAGGGGACUAGCGUUGUUCGGAAUUACUGGGCGUAAAGCGCACGUAGGCGGAUUUGUAAGUCAGGGGUGAAAUCCUGGAGCUCAACUCCAGAACUGCCUUUGAUACUGAGAAGCUUGAGUCCGGGAGAGGUGAGUGGAACUGCGAGUGUAGAGGUGAAAUUCGUAGAUAUUCGCAAGAACACCAGUGGCGAAGGCGGCUCACUGGCCCGGUACUGACGCUGAGGUGCGAAAGCGUGGGGAGCAAACAGG
rnacentral:rRNA from 1 species